GGAUUUAUAAGCAUGGAGGGCCCACCUCUUGUAGGCAAAUUCAUCUUCUGAGGCAGGAAGCAGCAUUAGGAAUGAUCUAGCCCAUCUCCUUGCCCCAGGGUGAGACAAUAAGGGAUCUUCCACUCUGCCCAGCAUCGUACUGUUUGCAGAAGGAGUAAGAAGGGAUAAAGAGGAAGUUAGAAGACUGACCUAGUCACCAAUGACGGGAGCUGUCCCCUGUCGUUACGCCUUGUGAGGUGACGGAGAACAAGGGGUCAGAAUCACCCUAACAAGGCUGCAUCCACUGCUACUGGAAGGAGGCUGGAUGGCGCGGUCAUGCUUCCUAUGCACAGGCAUACAGUUUGCCUUCCCCUUAGGCCACUGUGGGAUGAGAAUUCCAGGAGAAAACGCAGGAAGGAUGCUUGUUAUUUAAUAACAAGCUUGAGGAAAUCACAACAGAGAGGAGGAAGCAAACAGGCUGACAAGUCAGGAUGGCAGCGUGGGGGCCAGCGCCCCCAGUUCACCCACCAUGGGCAUGAUCCAGGAGGCCAGGCAGGGCUGGAAUUAAGAGCACAGGUUUUGGAGUCUCCCAAUCUCACCUGGAAUUCCAGCCGCACCUCUUACUACACACUGGCCUUGGGUAAAUCAUUCUGUCUCUCCAAUACUUAGUGUUCCUUAUCCACUAGGGGGAUUAAAUGAGAUUCCGGAGUGCCCAGCACACAGCCCAUCAAGACCUGUAGGUGUGCCACACUCCACGUUGUCACCAUGACAUCAGCAACCCCUCCUCUUCCCCCACGGAGUCUUCCCCACUUUCUGAAGUCUGAAGAACUGGGACUGGAACAUGUCCAAGGGGCUGCUCGUCACUGCCGGAGGGAUAACUGUUCAGACACUGUCGUCACACAGUCACAGAAAGACUCAGAACUUCAUUGCUACUUUAUUUGUUGUUUUCUGCCUUUAGGAUACUUCCUUAUGAUAAAAAAUGUGA
rnacentral:lncRNA from 1 species